UCUAAGCGUAGCCAUGAGUUUCCAUGUCCAACUUUGAUCGUCCGUUUUAUUUGAAUUUUUUUAUGAUUAGUAUUAUUAUUAGAUGAUAAAACAUAAAUAGUACUUUAUGCGUGGCUUCUAGCUUUUUAUUUUUUUCAAAAAAUUUUCAAAUAAAAUGGACAAUUAAAGUUGUACAUGGAAACUCAUGGCUGCACUUAAA
rfam:Oryza glaberrima chromosome 6 Oglab06_0050_10, whole genome shotgun sequence.